UACGGAGGAUUCGAGCGUUAUCCGGAUUUAUUGGGUUUAAAGGGUGCGUAGGCGGUUUGAUAAGUUAGAGGUGAAAUGUUAGGGCUUAACCCUGAAACUGCCUCUAAUACUGUUGAGCUAGAGAGUAGUUGCGGUAGGCGGAAUGUAUGGUGUAGCGGUGAAAUGCAUAGAUAUCACGCAGAACUCCGAUUGCGAAGGCAGCUUACUAAGCCAUAACUGACACUGAAGCACGAAAGCGUGGGGAUCAAACAGG
rnacentral:rRNA from 1 species